UCCCCAACACUGAUUACUUAACGAUUUGUUUACUAAAAUUAUGACUGCCAAUAAUCCAGGUAAGUCAAUGAUUUAGAGUUGUUUAUGACAAAAUAUUCUCGUUUGUCGCCACUUACUGGUUUAACGUUAUGUGUGAGUCUAUUCAUUCCUAUAAAUCUAACAUACUUUUUAUUUUCAGCAGCUGAGGAGAGACAGUCAUGAUGCCAUGACAAUAAUUGAUGAUUAAAAGCAGGGAUAAUCUCCAGGUGGACUGCACGGGUCCAGGAUCUAGAGAUCAUUCAUCAUGAGGACUAUGUUCCAGGAGAAGCAGCAUAUCCUGGGUGAAAAACUAUGCCUUAAUUUUUCCAAUAUCACUUAGGUAAGACUAAAUGUAUUUAAAUUGAUUUCAAUCAUGGGUCAUUUGUUUCAGGUCUACUUGAUCAUUUUGUUGGCCUGGAUGUGAGAACAUGGUCAAAAGGUGUGUCAAUCAGCAUCCAGCCAUAAAAGAUGCCUUCUCGUUAAAAGGCUCAGAAGGACAAACAGCUGCCAGAGGAGGAUGAUGAUGAUGAUGGCAGUGGUGACCGAGAUGAAGAGGAGGAGGAACAUUUUGCAAAAAUCCAAAGUGAUCCUUGCCUCAGAAGAGCCUGAGAAAGACACACUUCCUCUUCUCUCACAGCUCUCCAUCAUCUUCCUCCUCAACACUGUUGGAAAGAGUGUUCUACACAGCUGAGGACACGGUAAUGAGAGAUCUCAAAUUCUUCCUGAGAAAGUCCACAUGUUAAUUUUCUUGAACAAAAACUGUACAUGUAUUUUUGGGUGGGCCAAACUAUUAUUUGAAGAAAUGCUAAAAAUCUCUAUAUUGCUCUUUAUACAUAUCUUUUACUCUUUAUGAAUGUCAUCUUCUAGAUUUUUUUUAUCUUUUGGGAAGCUCAAGGACUGUAUAUCUUUGGUAAUUGUGAUAUCGUCUGGUAAAAGUUCUAGUAAAGCAGUAUUAAAGCACAUUACCUCAGUAUAUAUUACUCAUACAGGACACUUAGGAAAUGGUUUAAAACAUUUUUUUGCAAAUAAAGUAAUAAAAUAUCUGCUGAAUCUUUUUUCACAUAUUUGUCAUUUUUGUGCUAAAUUUUGGAGAGUAGUAAUCAUAAGAGUAUAAAUAUAAUUGAUAAAAUCAUUAUUUAACUAUACCCAUCUCUCUAAUGAUGAAACACUUUUUCAAUAAAAAGAAUAAAACAUUAAUCAUUUGGUUACAUUUAUUUAUUGAUUGUAUUGUUUGGUCUAUGAAUGUGUUUGAUUUAUGAAUUCAUGUGUUCAAUUUUCUGUACUCAUAACUUAAUAACACUUGGUUGCAUGGUAAUGUUAAUGUAUUGGCUUAUUGUACAAAGUAACAAUGCUGAUGAUUUCAUGGAUGCAGUGUGUUUCUAGCCAUUUUCUAUCAUAAUUUAAUGAGGGCAUCUAUUGGUUUCCAUUACAUAUUUUGAUCUGCAAAUGUAUUAACCAAACCAAUACAAUUCCUUAUAACAAUUAGAAUUUAUAAUGUUUUAUAGCAGAGAAUUAAGUGUUCAGUUCUGCAUGGAUUCUGUGCAUGGAACACAGAAUGUUCGUUAACUUUGGAUGGUAUAAUGGCAUGUUGUCCAAUGUCCAUUAUCCCUUUAUGUUGUACCUGUUUUGUCAUUCCUGUUCACCAAAUGUUUUUAAAUAAAUAACUGUUAACAAUU